ensembl:lncRNA
CCCCACCCCCCCAACCACCCAAUGGGGCUAAUAGUUUUAUUUAGGGGGACAGUCUUAAACCAAUACAUAAUCCGUAUAGCUGUACACACUCUGAUUUUCCACUGUAGGGUGAUUCCAGUCCUUUACCCUGGAUUGCCAUCCAUUUUCUUACUUCUCAUAAAUAACGGUAAUUGCUCGCACUGCUUACUGAGAGGUUGCAGUUUGCCAGGGACUUGUUUAGCAGUCUUUUAGUUGGAUUAGCUCAUCUGGUCCCCCAGACACCCACUGAUGGACUGUCGCUGUGUGCGUCCUACAUGGGGAAACUGAGUCCCAGAAUGGCUGUCAUCGCCCGAGCAAACUGGAGCUAAAGUCAAAGCCGGGUGGCCUGACGCCUGCGCUGCGGCGCUUCUGGAGCCUGAGUCAGUUCAUGCGCUCUUCCUCUCCUACCGGGUAAAGGACCACUUCUUGUGUGGAACAGGCCUUCUCCCGGCAGUCAAUUCAAAGACUUUUCAUUUUGUGCUGGGGUGUGGCCAGCUAGCAGUGCUGCGGCAGUCUCAGGCGAACAGCGAAGGGACCCCAGCCACACACACACGUGUCUGUUUCCAGACCCCUCCCAGCCAGGCUGCCGCACAGCACUGAGCAGAGCAGGCGCUUGUUGGCUGUCCAGGUUGAAUACAGGCGUCUGUGUGUGCGGAUCGCACACUUACCAGCUCGCCUUCCCCCCAUCCUUCCCCUUGGCAACCAUAAAUUCAUUCUGUGCUUUUUUGCUCAGUCAAUCAGCGUAUGUGCUGGUGCUGAGUAGCUUUCGUGACACCCAUGCCUGGCUGACUUGCUUACUCACUGGCUCAGGGCAGUGUAUAACAACAUGGGUCAGUCAGAGGCCCACAGCAGCCGUCCCGCGCCUUCCUGGGAGGUUCUGAGAAUGAGGUGUUCUCUUUCAACCGCAGUUUCCACACUGGGAUGAUUUAAGCCUGAAACUGGCUUCCUGACCUCAGCCGAACUCUGAAGGCGAGAAGAGGCCGAUCGCCGUAUAAUCUAUUCAAUUUCAAUUUCAAAAGAUGCUGCCGCUGAUCAAAGGAUACCCGUGGAUUCUUUACCUCCGACAAAGUUCAGAUGAUCUAAGAUGAAGAAAUGAUUCUCGAUAUCUGAUUCCAUCUCCUUUCCUUCUGCAAACCAGGAGCAAGAACAACAAAAUAAAAGAAUUAAUUCCACAUAGGAAACAAGGUGGAAUAAUAUGUUACUUAAGCAAGACAGGAAAGCUGGAGAGAAGGUAUUCAAACUUUUGUGAACAAAGGAAAAGACACCUGGGAUGGAUUUUCCCUGAGAGCAAAGAAUAAAGACAUGUCAGUUCUGCACCUGGAACAGUGAGAAGGACAGCAGGCCCAGAUACUCUCACUUCGGUCGAAGCACCAAGUCGUUAUGCUUGAGGAAAGGCGGAUGCCAUGCUUUUAGCCAAUUAUCAGAUUGUGUUUCACUGAAUAGGGAGCCAAAGAGCUAAGAUUAAGAGAUAGAUAUUUUUCCCCAGGUCAGGUUAGGAAGGGAGACAAGAGAGUUGAGGCAGCUAAAGAGGAGAAAAUCUUUGGGGAAAAAGACACAUUUCUAUGAGGAAUUCAAUAAUAUAUUUUUGCCUUGUUGUAUGAAUUGCAAUUCUUUUCCCUGCCUCCUCAUAGAAUUUUAUUAAAACACUCCUUUCUGGCACCUUAUAGGUUCUCAUACACCUUGAUCCCUUUAACUUCCCAGUCCCUACUAUUAUAUUUCAAUGAAGAAUAUAAGAAUCUGGCAAAGUUUUAAAAUUAAGGCAAUUUAAAAUAAUAUUAAGAAUGUGGCUUUAAUGAGCUUUCAAGGGGAGGGCACAGAAGGGGGAGGUGGAGCCUGUAGAAUCAGGGGAUCCUCACGCUCAGAGGAA